UACGUAGGUGGCGAGCGUUAUCCGGAAUUAUUGGGCGUAAAGCGUGAGUAGGUGGCAUAUUAAGUCUUGAGUGAAAGGCUAUGGCUCAACCAUAGUAGGCUCAAGAAACUGAUAAGCUAGAGUGCGAGAGAGGUUAAUGGAAUUCCAUGUGUAGCGGUGAAAUGCGUAGAUAUAUGGAGGAACACCAGUGGCGAAGGCGGUUAACUGGCUCGCAACUGACACUGAGUCACGAAAGCGUGGGGAGCAAAUAGGAUUAGAUACCCUAGUAGUCCACGCUGUAAACGAUGAGUACUAAGUGUUGGAGAAAUUCAGUGCUGAAGUAAACAUAUUAAGUACUCCGCCUGGGUAGUACGUUCGCAAGAAUGAA
rnacentral:rRNA from 1 species